CGUGGAAGCUGAUAUGGGGGAGAGUGUGUUACACUCACCAAAAAAGGGUUUUAAAUAUUACUUUUUAGUGGGUUUAGGGGUUCAGAUGACAAACAUGUAAAUAUAGAAAGGGUUUUAAAUAUUACUUUUUAGUGGGUUUAGGGGUCCAGAUGAUAAACAUGUAAAUAUAGAAGUGUUCAACUUACAAAACCGGCAUAGUACAGGUCCACAUAUCUUUCAUUUGAAGUGUAGGUAGGUGAAUGCCUUGGGAUGUGGUGGAGACCUAACUUUGAAACAGUGAUUUACCCGUUUAUGCCGCCUGAUAUAAAAUGAAUGGCCAAAGGUACUUGGUCAUAAUAUUCUGAAUUUAUCUAAUUUGCCAUCAGGAGAGUUCUUGAGGCCAUUGGUACUUCCCUUUGUAGGAGUGCACAAAAGUCUUUCUUGUGAGGUUGCCGGAAAGUCGCAAAUUCAUUGUACCAAAGAACCUCAAGCUUCUUGCUGUUUCAUUGUGUGAAAUUCAUGAUAAUUUCAAGACAUAUGGGCCAAUAAUAGCUGGAGUUCCACAAUUGUUGUCGAAGUUCUCCUACAACCCACCUGAUACUGACUGAUCAGUGCCAUAAUACAAGGUUAAAAACAACGAUGGGCUUAAUGCUAGUUUAAGUAGCAAGUUUAAGUUGAGAAUACCAAGACAGUAGCCAGUUGACAUGUAUAUGGUACGUGUAGUGUGUUUCUGUCUGCAGUGUCUGUUUCAACCUUUAUGUUUGUAUACUUCCGUUUACCUGUAGUGAGCAAAAAUAACUGGUCAAGCACAUCGCUCGCUGCACUACUAAAUUUAGCACGAACUUUCACUUUGACGUUUCAACUAGACGUAAUUCAUUUUAAACACCUAAACUAGUGUUUAGGUGCCUCAUUUUAUCAUUUUUUGCACAAUU